rnacentral:rRNA from 1 species
CACGCCCUAAACGAUGUUCUCUCGCUAUCGAAAGUAUCGACCCUUUCGGUGGCUUAGCUAACGCGGUAAGAGAACCGCCUGGGAAGUACGAUCGCAAGAUUAAAACUCAAAGGAAUAGACGGGGACCUGCACAAGCAGUGGAUUAUGUGGUUUAAUUCGAUGGUAAACGAAGAACCUCACCAGGAUUUGAAACUCACGUGAAAGCCUAAGGAAACUAUGGCCCUCGCAAGACACGUGGACAGGUGA